rnacentral:rRNA from 1 species
UACGUAGGGUGCAAGCGUUGUCCGGAAUUAUUGGGCGUAAAGAGCUCGUAGGCGGUUUGUCGCGUCUGCUGUGAAAACUCGGGGCUUAACCCCGGGCCUGCAGUGGGUACGGGCAGACUAGAGUGCGGUAGGGGAGACUGGAAUUCCUGGUGUAGCGGUGAAAUGCGCAGAUAUCAGGAGGAACACCGGUGGCGAAGGCGGGCCUCUGGGCCGUAACUGAC